rnacentral:rRNA from 1 species
CGGGAACACCGGCAGCUCUAGUGGUAGCUGUUUUAUUGGGCCUAAAGCGUUCGUAGCCGGUUUAAUAAGUCUCUGGUGAAAUCCGUAUAGCUUAACUGUGGGAAUUGCUGGAGAUACUAUUAGACUUGAGAUCGGGAGAGGUCAGAGGUACUCCUGGGGUAGGGGUGAAAUCCUGUAAUCCUAGGAGGGACCACCUGUGGCGAAGGCGUCUGACUAGAACGAAUCUGACGGUGAGGAACGAAAGCUAGGGGCGCGAACCGGAUUAGAUACCCGGGUAGUCCUAGCCGUAAACUAUGCGGACUUGGUGUGAGGGUGGCUUUGAGCCGUCCUGGUGCCGAAGGGAAGCUGUUAAGUCCGCCGCCUGGGAAGUACGGUCGCAAGACUGAAACUUAAAGGAAUUGGCGGGGAGCACCACAACGCGUGGAGCCUGCGGUUUAAUUGGAUUCAACGCCGGAGAUCUCACCAGCGGCGACAGCAGUAUGAUGACCAGGUUGAUGACUUUGUUUGACAAGCUGAGAGGGGUGGUGCAUGG